CCCAUCCUCGCCAUUGUAAGCUACCAUAUAAAUACGUCUGACUACAGAAUUCCUCACAUUUCUAACACUUAGCCAGGAGACAACAACAACAACAACCACGACGAUGAAAAGCGGAAUUAUCGUCUGCGCGUUAGUUCUCAUCAUUUUCGAAACUUACGGAUUUGGAAAUGGAGUAGGUGCCAGUGCUUUAUUUCAAAGACGUCAGAGACCGAGCCCAUCUUUUGAAGCAGAAGAGACUGGGCAGACUGAGUUCGGCUAUCCAGCACACAGUGACUUUAUGAAACAACUCAUUAAUUACCUGGAAUUUGUUGGUAAAAAGAAAUAAACCCAUGACGACUGUGGACAAUAAACUCUAUCAGUUACUGAGAGAAUGAAUAAAUCAUCGUCAAACAUUAAAUGUCUUCUUUGAAAUGUGAAAAUAGAUGA